AUUUCGUCUUAGCCACGCAGAAGUCGCGUGUCUAGUUUGUUUCGACGCCGGACCGCGUAAGAGACGAUGAUGUUGGGCACGGAAGGUGGAGAGGGAUUCGUGGUGAAGGUCCGGGGCUUGCCCUGGUCUUGCUCGGCCGAUGAAGUGCAGAGGUUUUUUUCUGGUGAGUUAGAACUAGGACGCGGGAGUUCGAGUUCGAGGCCGGGGCGGGCGGGCUGGCGGGCGGCCGGGCUGGGGCGGGGCGGGGC
rnacentral:lncRNA from 1 species